rfam:Pan troglodytes isolate Yerkes chimp pedigree #C0471 (Clint) chromosome 3, whole genome shotgun sequence.
GCCGGGCCUGGUGGCACAUGCCUGUAAUCCUAGCUACUCCAGAGGUUGAGGUGGGAGGAUUACUUGAGCCCAGGAGUUCUGGGCUGCAGUGAGACAUGAUCUCACCACUGCACUCCAGCCUGGGCAACAGAGUGAGACCUUGUCUCUA